AUUGUACGCUGGCGGCAGGCCUAACACAUGCAAGUCGAACGAGUGGCGGACGGGUGAGUAAUGUCUGGGAAACUGCCCGAUGGAGGGGGAUAACUACUGGAAACGGUAGCUAAUACCGCAUACCAUCGGAUGUGCCCAGAUGGGAUUAGCUUGUCGGUGGGGUAACGGCUCACCUAGGCGACGAUCCCUCGCUGGUCUGAGAGGAUGACCAGGCACAAUGGAACUGAGACACGGUCCAGAACCCUACGGGAGGCAGCAGUGGGGAAGAUUGCACAAGUGGCGCAAGCCUGAUGCAGCCAUGCCGCGUGUAUGAAGAAGGCCGGCGGGUUGUAAAGUACUUUCAGCGGGGAGGCGUUACCCGCAGAAGAAGCACCGGCUAACUCCGUGCCAGCGGCCGCGGUAAUUC
rnacentral:rRNA from 1 species